CCAAGGAGUCUAACAUGUGCGCGAGUCAUUGGGACUUGCUUAAGCCCAAAGGCGCAAUGAAAGUGAAGGUCGGCCCUCAGACGCCGUCCGAGUUGGGAUCCCGCGUCGCUUGAUCACAGGUGCGCGGGAGCACCAACGACCCGUCCCGUCCGCAUCGUCGGUGGGGCGGAGUGUGAGCGUACACGUUGGGACCCGAAAGAUGGUGAACUAUGCCUGGGCAGGACGAAGCCAGAGGAAACUCUGGUGGAGGUCCGUAGCGAUUCUGACGUGCAAAUCGAUCGUCAGACCCGGGUAUAGGGGCGAAAGACUAAUCGAACCAUCUAGUAGCUGGUUCCCUCCGAAGUUUCCCUCAGGAUAGCUGGCGCUCGUGUGGGAAUCAGUCUCAUCCGGUAAAGCGAAUGAUUAGAGGCCUUGGGGCCGAAACGACCUCAACCUAUUCUCAAACUUUAAAUGGGUGAGAAGUCCGGCUUGCACGACUGAAGCUCGGACGAAAGAAGGAUGAGAGUGCCCAGUGGGCCACUUUU
rnacentral:rRNA from 2 species